rnacentral:lncRNA from 1 species
CAGCAGCGGUGCCUGACGCGGGACAGAGGUUUGGCUGAAAGCUGCUCUGUUGUUGAAGGUCCUUCAGAGUUUGCAGCCGAGUGGCGGGCGGGGACAGCGCGGGGCGGGGGUGGGGGGGGGGGGGUGGCGGACAGGCCCUCGGCCUGCGCCCAGGGCUCGGCCACUUUGCUCGCGGCCUCUGGAGCUCCAGCUGCGCCCGGUCACCGCUGGCCGCUUGCACACACCCUCGCUGGCUCUCACGCUCAAAUGGGUGGCCUAAAAUGUCAGCUGGUGAUGAUGAAGAUGGUGAUGAUGGCUUCUAGAUCUCUCCCAUCCUGGACACUCUCUUCUGGACAGGCUUCAUGAGGUA